UGGGGUAGCCCCUAAAAAUUGGGACACAUAAAAAAGACAACUCUGUUCCGCAGAGUAGCUGUUGACAUUAUAGUUGUGCAGGAACUUUGUUGACUCUAGAGAACCUUGGGCAAAUCGCACAUCCCCGUGGCGGCGACUUUGCAUGAGGAUGUCAUCCAUAUCAACUUUCGAUGCCAGAUUCUGCACCUACCAUGGUGACCAUGGGUAACGGGGAAUCAGGGUUCCAUUCCGUACAGGGACCCUGAGAAACGGCUACCAAAUGCAAGGACGGCAGCAGGUGCGCAAAUGACCCACUCCCAACGCGGGAAGGUAGUGA